UACGGAGGGGGCUAGCGUUGUUCGGAAUUACUGGGCGUAAAGCGCGCGUAGGCGGCUUGUUUAGUCGGGGGUGAAAGCCGGGGGCUCAACCCCGGAAUUGCCUCGGAUACUGGCAAGCUGGAGUACGGGAGAGGAGAGUGGAAUUCCCAGUGUAGAGCUGAAAUUCGUAGAUAUUGGGAAGAACACCGGUGGCGAAGGCGGCUCUCUGGACCGUGACUGACGCUGAGGCGCGAAAGCGUGGGGAGCAAACAGG
rnacentral:misc_RNA from 1 species